rnacentral:lncRNA from 1 species
GGACAAUCAUGUCAUCUGUGAACAAAGACAAUUUUAUUUCUUCUUUUCCAAUAUGUAUACCUUUUAUUUCCUUUUCUUGUCUUGUUACAUUACCUAGGACUUCCAGAAUGGUGUUGAAUAGGAGUGGUGAAAGUGGACAUCCUUGCCUUGAUUCUGAUAUACUGGGACAACAUGUAUUCAUUUCAAGGAGUUUACAAAGAAACUGCCCUAUGGAUUGGGAGUGA